GGUUGCGAUCAUACCAGCACUAAUGCACCGGAUCCCAUCAGAACUCCGCAGUUAAGCGUGCUUGGGCCAGAGUAGUACUAGGAUGGGUGACCCCCUGGGAAGUCCUCGUGUUGCAACCC
rnacentral:rRNA from 1 species